GACGAACGCUGGCGGCGUGCUUAACACAUGCAAGUCGAACGGAAAGGCCUGCUUUCCCUUGUGGAUUGCGGGUGCUCGAGUGGCGAACGGGUGAGUAACACGUGAGUGAUCUGCCCCCAACUUGGGUAUAAGCCUGGGAAACUGGGUCUAAUUCCCGAUAGGACUGCAGGGUGGUGCCUGUGGUGGAAAACGAUUUUCUAGUGGUUGGGGAUGAGCUCGCGGCCUAUCAGCUUGUUGGUGGGGUAAUGGCCUACCAAGGCGGCGACGGGUAGCCGGCCUGAGAGGGUGGACGGCCACAUUGGGACUGAGAUACGGCCCAGACUCCUACGGGAGGCAGCAGUGGGGAAUAUUGCACAAUGGGCGGAAGCCUGAGGCAGCGACGCCGCGUGGGGGAUGACGGCCUUCGGGUUGUAAACUCCUUUCGACCGCGAGGAAGCCACCUGGUUGGAAGGGUGGUGACGGUAGUGGUAGAAGAAGCACCGGCUAACUACGUG
rnacentral:rRNA from 1 species